CAGAGGGUUGGAACUUUCAGUCCCACUCUCCACACUCAGGGGAGGGGAGAGGGUCUGAAGAUUGAGUUUAAUCACCAAUGGUCAAUGAUUUCAUCAAUCAUGUCUACGUAAUGAAGCCUUUAUAAAAGCCCCAAAAGGACAGGGUUUGGACAGCUUCCGGCUUGGUGAACACACGGAGGUGCUGGGUGGUGAGCUCAGAAAGCAUGGAAGCUCCACACCCUUUUUCCACACCUUGCCCUAUGCACCUCUUUCCAUCGGACCGCUCCUGAGUUCUGUCCUUUUGUAAUCAGCCAGUUAUCUAACAAGCAAAACGUUCCUCUGAGUUCUGUGAGCCGCUCGAGCAAAUUAACUGAACGUAAGGAGGGGGCAUUGGAUCCUCUGACGGAUAGCCGGGCGGUCAGUGGCGCAGCCCCAGCCCAUAGGUUUUGUUAAGAACUGAUUUACGGAAGGAGCGAUUUAGGGGCUAAAUGCAACACAAAGCAAAUCGCCAGGCAUCGUUCUGUUGAUCUAACACAAAGUCGUCUUGACUUGACUCCUUGCUCUUGGGUGUGAUUUUCAGGAUCGUUUCUCCCCUGCAAUUUUCAAUGAGCUUCACUUCCCAAGAAAUGCUUUUUCAACCCUCUGAAUGCUAAUGACAGAGAACAGAACCUGGUGAUUAAGGGCUACCUUCUAUGAGAAAAGGACAGCAUACUGAGGCAAUCCUUUCUCUGGUCUUUUAUUCUUUCACUCUCAACACAUAAUAAUCAUCAUCUUUGGGAGGCGUAUUUAACUCAAAUAUUUAAACAUUUGCAUAUGUCGAUGAAAGAAACAUCCGACAAAUUAGGUGUGAUUUGUACCUGUGGAAGCCUACAGAUGAAGACGAGGCGAAGGUGUGUCUUCCCUGAAAACAGACAUUUUGCCUUUGCUUUUGAUUGUGAAACUCGGCACAUCCCUUGGACCCACAACACAAUAAAGGAGAUAAUGUGAUGUGAUUUGAACAUCUAUCAAUAUCCACAGGGGAUAAUAAAUACCUUUGCUGCCCCU